rnacentral:rRNA from 1 species
UACGUAGGGGUCGAGCGUUGUCCGGAGUACUGGGCGUAAAGCGUGCGCAGGCGGCUCAUCGCGCUCGGCGUGAAAGCCCCCGGCUCAACCGGGGAGGGUCGUCGAGGACGGGUGAGCUUGAGGGUAUCAGGGGUUGGUGGAAUUCCCGGUGUAGUGGUGAAAUGCGUAGAGAUCGGGAGGAACACCCGUGGCGAAGGCGGCCAACUGGGAUACACCUGACGCUGAGGCACGAAGGCGUGGGGAGCGAACGGG